rnacentral:rRNA from 1 species
GACGUAGGGGGCCAGCGUUGCUCGGAAUUACUGGGUGUAAAGGGUUCGUAGGCGGUGUGGCAAGUCGGGAGUGAAAUCUCUGGGCUCAACCCAGAGUCUGCUUCCGAAACUGCUGUGCUUGAGUGUGGGAGAGGCGCGUGGAAUUGCAGGUGUAGCGGUGAAAUGCGUAGAUACUGGGAGGAACACCGGUGGCGAAGGCGGCUACCUGGACCGGUUCUGACGCUGAUGCGCGAAAGCGUGGGUAGCAAACAGG